rnacentral:rRNA from 1 species
CGUAGGGGGCAAGCGUUAUCCGGAUUUACUGGGUGUAAAGGGAGCGUAGACGGAUGGACAAGUCUGAUGUGAAAGGCUGGGGCUCAACCCCGGGACUGCAUUGGAAACUGCCCGUCUUGAGUGCCGGAGAGGUAAGCGGAAUUCCUAGUGUAGCGGUGAAAUGCGUAGAUAUUAGGAGGAACACCAGUGGCGAAGGCGGCUUACUGGACGGUAACUGACGUUGAGGCUCGAAAGCGUGGGGAGCAA